rnacentral:rRNA from 1 species
CAAAGGAAUUGACGGGGGCCCGCACAAGCGGCGGAGCUGCGGAUUAAUUCGAUGCAACGCGAAGAACCUUACCAAGGCUUGACAUACACCGGAAACGGCCAGAGAUGGUUGCCCCCUUGUGGUCGGUGUACAGGUGGUGCAUGGUUGUCGUCAGCUCGUGUCGUGAGAUGUUGGGUUAAGUCCCGCAACGAGCGCAACCCUCGUUCUAUGUUGCCAGCGCGUUAUGGCGGGGACUCAUAGGAGACUGCCGGGGUCAACUCGGAGGAAGGUGGGGAUGACGUCAAAUCAUCAUGCCCCUUAUGUCUUGGGCUUCACGCAUGCUACAAUGGCCGGUACAAAGGGCUGCGAUACCGUAAGGUGGAGCGAAUCCCAAAAAGCCGGUCUCAGUUCGGAUUGAGGUCUGCAACUCGACCUCAUGAAGUCGGAGUCGCUAGUAAUCGCAGAUCAGCAACGCUGCGGUGAAUACGUUCCCGGGCCUUGUACACACCGCCCGUCAAGUCAUGAAAGUCGGUAACACCCGAAGCCGGUGGCCUAACCCUUGUGGAAGGAGCCGUCGAAGGUGGGAUCGGUGAUUAG